rnacentral:snRNA from 1 species
UAUAUAAUAAUAAUGCUUGUAAUCC